rnacentral:rRNA from 1 species
CAACGCUGGCGGCGUGCCUAACACAUGCAAGUCGAACGCGAAAGACCCGCAAGGGGUGAGUAGAGUGGCAAACGGGUGAGUAACACGUGGGUGACCUGCCUUCGAGUGGGGGAUAACGUCCCGAAAGGGACGCUAAUACCGCAUGACAUCCUGCCUUUUAAGAGGUGGAGCUUAAAGCCGGGGAUCGCAAGACCUGGCGCUUGAAGAGGGGCCCGCGCCUGAUUAGCUAGUUGGUGGGGUAAUGGCUCACCAAGGCAACGAUCAGUAGCCGGCCUGAGAGGGCGGACGGCCACACUGGGACUGAGACACGGCCCAGACUCCUACGGGAGGCAGCAGUGGGGAAUUGUUCGCAAUGGGCGCAAGCCUGACGACGCAACGCCCGCGUGGAGGAUGAAGAUCUUCGGGUCGUAAACUCCUUUCGAUCGAGACGAAUUCCUUCGGGGUGAACAGCUCCGGGGGUUGACGGUACCGAGAGAAGAAGCCCCGGCUAACUCCGUGCCAGCCGCAGC